UUUGUUUUCUUUGUCUUAAUAAUUAAAAUUUAAUUUUCUUUCUUUUUUUAACAAUUAACUUUAACUUAUUCUUUGGGAAUUAUUCAAAUAAAUUACAAUCUAAUGGUAAUUGAAGGUUUAAUCAUUUAAAACCACAAAUCGUGCCUCAGUUUUGUUUAACCCUUUGAAUUUGAAUCUAAUUAUGAGAAUUGGUCAUCAUCGGGUUACCUUAAUUAAACUCAAGCAAAGAUCCUUAGGUUAAUUACCACUUUCUUCAUAGAUUGUGUGUUGAUUAUGUGAUUACGAUGUUAACAAUUAACCUUUAACAAUCAUCUCAAUUACCUGUUGAUUUAUUUUAAUCUAAUACAAACUGACCGAUGGAUUUUGCUGGUUAAUGUCAAUCGAUUACUUUAUUUAUACUUGAAAACAAUUACAAUUAACGCCCCGAAAUCAUGUGAUUUAAAUGGAUCCAUUUGAUUUUCCUUAUCAUCGCAAACAUAAAUGGUCUGAACGUUGAAACAAUUAGAUGAACAUCCAAUUGGUAUUUUGAUCCGUAUUUACAAUUUUUCUGGUCAAUCGUUGAUCAUAAUUAUGAUUAUCUGGUCUAUUAUUAAGCUAUAAUAAUAGUAUUGAUAAUAAUACUAAAUAGUGAUGAUCGUCUUAUAUAACCAAUCAGGUCGAUCAUUUUAAAUUGUAAACCUAAACCCCUUCAGGAUCAUCAAUAUAACGAUUAUCAUUAUCAUCCCGUCAUCAAGAACAAUCAACUUUGGAGGCCUAAAAAACUCGCUGAAAGGCAAUUAAAUUAAUCUUAAUUCCUAAUUUUCGAUCAAUUUGAGAAAAUAAAAGGAAACAUGAUUUAAUUGUUAUUAAUUCAAGAGGACUUUCAAUCUCAAAUCCCUAUUUGAUCAGUUCAUUUGAUCGUAACUCUUAGCGCAAUUUAAAAUGCUCCUGAUUGUUAAAUUGUCACUAAUCAAACAAUCAUUGAGAGUAAAAAAAAAAGUUACAUAACAACAAUCAAGGUGAUAAAUUAAACAAUUAAGCUGAAAAGUGUAGAGAGAGAGAUCAAUUUAUCAGCAACAACAAUCAGUGGUUGGGGCAAUUUACUGGACUCAUCUAGAUUCUGAAUUAGUUAUUAUCAUUAUUCAACCAUUAACAAUUAAUCAACAAUUAGCAAUCAGAUAUGCUGAUAUUGACCUUGAUGGUUAAUUUUGACAAGAAAAAAAUUUACAAUAAUUUGUUGAUGUCGUGAGAAAAUUAAAACAUUUGUCUAAAUCAGUUGAUUCCCUUAAGGUGUAAAUGAUGAUAAUCAAAGAUGAGGAUCAACAAGAGUAACUGGUUUAAUCAACAAUCAGCUGAUAUCUUCUUAAUUGUCACUAAUUAAUGACUUUCUAUUGAUGCAAUAAUAUCAACCAAUUGUUAACAACAACAGAAAUCAAGUUGUCAAACCAAUAAAAACAAACCAAUCGAUAAUUUUAUAAUUAAUUAAAUUGAUUCAUUUAAUUGAGAUGUGAUCAACUUUCCAAUGAGAAAUUAACUUAAUCAUUUUUCACAACAAAUCCUCAUCAUCACUAUCAUUAAGAUCAUCCUAAUCUUAAUCAUGAUUCACACAUAAUAUGUUGAUUAUGUGAUUAACUUUUGGUUAUUAUUAAAUAAUCAAAUUGUGGGAAUGGUUGUAAUCACUUACCAAUAACUUUGGCGUUGAUCAAAGUGAUUAAAUUUAAUUGUCAACGUGAAAACCAUUUUUGUCACUCGUAAUUGUCAAUAUUGCAUGUUAA